GUUAGGAAUAUUGGACAAUGGGCGAAAGCCUGAUCCAGCCAUGCCGCGUGAACGAUGAAGGCCUUCGGGUUGUAAAGUUCUUUAGCCGAUGAUUAUAAUGACUGUAGUCGGAAAAUAAGCCCCGGCUAACUUCGUGCCAGCAGCCGCGGUAAUACGAAGGGGGCGAGCGUUAUUCGGAAUCACUGGGCGUAAAGCGUGCGUAGGCGGUUUUGUAAGUUAGGAGUGAAAGCCCAGGGCUCAACCUUGGAAUUGCUCUUAAUACUGCAAGGCUCGAAUCUCGGAGAGGAUAGCGGAAUUUCCAGUGUAGCAGUGAAAUGCGUAGAUAUUGGAAGGAACACCAGUGGCGUAAGCGGCUAUCUGGACGAGUAUUGACGCUGAGGCACGAAAGCGUGGGGAUCAAACAGGAUUAGAAACCCGAGUAGUCC
rnacentral:rRNA from 1 species